rnacentral:rRNA from 1 species
UACGUAGGGCGCAAGCGUUAUCCGGAAUUAUUGGGCGUAAAGAGCUCGUAGGCGGUUUGUCGCGUCUGCCGUGAAGGUCCGGGGCUCAACUCCGGAUCUGCGGUGGGUACGGGCAGACUAGAGUGAUGUAGGGGAGACUGGAAUUCCUGGUGUAGCGGUGAAAUGCGCAGAUAUCAGGAGGAACACCGCUGGCGAAGGCAGGUCUCUGGGCAUUAACUGACGCUGAGGAGCGAAAGCAUGGGGAGCGAACAGG